UACAGAGGGUGCAAGCGUUGUUCGGAAUUAUUGGGCGUAAAGGGUGCGUAGGCGGUUCCGCAAGUCCUGUGUGAAAUCUUCGGGCUCAACUCGAAGUCUGCACGGGAAACUGCGGGGCUUGAGUGUGGGAGAGGUGAGUGGAAUUCCGCGUGUAGCAGUGAAAUGCGUAGAGAUGCGGAGGAACACCGAUGGCGAAGGCAGCCCCCUGGGCUGACACUGACGCUCAGGCACGAAAGCGUGGGGAGCAAACAGG
rnacentral:rRNA from 1 species